CCUACGGGUGGCGGCAGUGAGGAAUAUUGGUCAAUGGGCGCGAGCCUGAACCAGCCAAGUAGCGUGAAGGAUGACUGCCCUACGGGUUGUAAACUUCUUUUAUAAAGGAAUAAAGUGAGGCACGUGUGCCUUUUUGUAUGUACUUUAUGCAUAAGGAUCGGCUAACUCCUUGCCAGCAGCCGCGGUAAUACGGAGGAUGCGAGCGUUAUCCGGAUUUAUUGGGUUUAAAGGGAGCGUAGAUGGGUUGGUAAGUCAGUUGUGAAAGUUUGCGGCUCAACCGUAAAUUUGCAAUUGAUACUGGCAGUCUUGAGUACAGUUGAGGUAAGCGGAAUUCGUGGUGUAGCGGUGAAAUGCUUAGAUAUCACGAAGAACUCCGAUUGCGAAGGCAGCUUACUAAACUGCCACUGACAUUGAUGCUCGAAAGUGUGGGUAGCAAACAGGAUUAGAUACCCGUGUAGUC
rnacentral:rRNA from 1 species